ensembl:lncRNA
UCUUAAGCUGGGUGUGGGUGUCAAUGUCAUCCCAGUGGAACCCCACCACUAUGACCCAUACAUUCUCAUUGUUGUGAAUAUUUAAAAAUCAGAUCACCAGAAAGAUGGUGAAGUGUGUAUACAAAGGCAUUCUAGCGUCAGCAGCUGGUGUCGUCCUGGAGUUUGGGGUGUACAAGGGUCAGGACUGCUUGAGUCUCAUGUAUAAAAGACGCUCUGGCACCAAGAAGAGCAGCUUUGCCCUCAGGGUGCAUAGCACUCACACCUCUUGGAGGAAUCGUACAGGUGCUUUUCAACUCGGGCUGAAAGAGAUCAAGGAUCAACAUGUUAUCCAAGGCAGGUGGGUCGUCUAAGGCAAUGAUGAAGCCAGAAGUGCUAGCAAUUCAGUUUCUCUCCUGAGAAAGAAAUCUGUACCAGCCAUCCGACAGUACUCAGAAGAAAUAAGGAGACUCAUUCUUCAGUCUUAGCGUGUGUCACCGAGGGGAGCUUGCUAACGUGUGAUUUCUGCUGUCCAGUCCCAGAUAUUUAGAUUUGGGAGGUUUGCCCUGGGGCCUUAGGAUCUCAGCUUUGAACCAGUAAUCCAGGUUUACCAGACGCCAGCAGUCCAUGGGAUCGUUCUUUCCAUAACAUCCUGUAGGACAUAAGUGGUUUGGGGUUGAGAGGUGGACAAUUAUUGUGGCAUCUCCUUUCCCUACCUACAGGGCUUCCCAGAUGCGGCAGUGGUAAAGGCAGGGGACAGGAGUUUAAUCCCUGGGUCAGGAAGAUGCCCUGGAGUAGGAAAUGGCAACCCGCUCCAGAAUUCUUGCCUGGAAAACUCCAUGGACAGAGGAGCCUAGUGGGCUACAGUUGCAGUGUUCAAGGGGACCGAGCGUACACGGCAUCCCUUCUUUUUCCUACUCACGCGCUUCGGAUUGCUGCAGCCCGGCCCGGCCCACUGCGGGGCCUUGGAAUUCACCUCCAGCUGGUGUUCCCCUCCACCGCCCAACAGUAUCAGGAUUUGAGAACAGAAUGGGAACCUUCUAUGUUGGGAUGCUCACAUCUGCGCAGCUUCAAGCUCAGGUUAUGGAAGAGGCCACGAAAAGAGGGCUGGGGUUGGGGGGAUGAAGUGUUUGGAGGGGAAAUCCCACCUCUUUGAUAAAUUGAGGCCAGCCUGCCCAACAGGGCUGAUUUACUGGGGGACCAGGCGUGAGGAAUUUCUGUCAGUGAAGGCCCAGGAAGGCUGCUCUUUGUAGGCUUGGGGAAGAUGGGUACCAGAGCAGGCUGCAAAUAGGAGCCCAGAGCGCCUGUGUCUUUAUACAUCUGUGGACUAUUUAGAUAAGUGGAGGCUGUACUUAAUCACAGAGAAAGUUGUUUGCUUAAAUAAAGGGAAGGAAAGUUGCAUGUGUGCGUUUAAGGGGAGGGAAGGAGGAGGUGGGAGGUAGGAGACAGGAUCCAGCAAUUUUUCCACAGCUGAAACCCCACCACGUGGUUUAAAUUAGGAUGACCUUCCCAUCACCUGAGCGCUGGAGCUGGUGGAUGGGGCAGGGGUGAAGGAUCUGAAAUCUCGCGGCCCUGCCCUCCGGCAUUUCAGCAGAGCUUUGCCGUAGGCAUCCGUGAGCUACAAGGACUGGUUUUACCU